CCCUUAGAUGUCCUGGGCCGCACGCGCGCUACACUGACAUGUUCAACAAGCCUCCUAGUUCGACAGGAUUUGGGAAAUCUUUGAACGCAUGUCGUGAUAGGGAUAGAUCAUUGCAAUUAUUGAUCUUGAACGAGGAAUUCCUAGUAAACGCGAGUCAUCAGCUCGCAUUGAUUACGUCCCUGCCCUUUGUACACACCGCCCGUCGCUCCUACCGAUUGGGUGUGCUGGUGAAAUGUUCGGAUCGGCCGUUUGUCGCGGUUUCCGCGUCAUGUGGCUGAGAAGUUCAUUAAACCCUCCCACCUAGAGGAAGGAGAAGUCGUAACA
rnacentral:rRNA from 1 species